GAGAUUUAGACGGUAGGGAGUUGAUGCGGUCUACCAUGCAAGUCGAACGAUGAUGCCCAGCUUGCUGGGCGGAUUAGUGGCGAACGGGUGAGUAAUACGUGAGUAACCUGCCCUUGACUCUGGGAUAAGCCUGGGAAACUGGGUCUAAUACUGGAUACUACUGCGCAUCGCAUGGUGUGUGGUGGAAAGGGUUUUACUGGUUUUGGAUGGGCUCACGGCCUAUCAGCUUGUUGGUGGGGUAAUGGCUCACCAAGGCGACGACGGGUAGCCGGCCUGAGAGGGUGACCGGCCACACUGGGACUGAGACACGGCCCAGACUCCUACGGGAGGCAGCAGUGGGGAAUAUUGCACAAUGGGCGCAAGCCUGAUGCAGCGACGCCGCGUGAGGGAUGACGGCCUUCGGGUUGUAAACCUCUUUCAGUAGGGAAGAAGCGAGAGUGACGGUACCUGCAGAAGAAGCGCCGGCUAACUACGUGCCAGCAGCCGCGGUAAUACGUAGGGCGCAAGCGUUGUCCGGAAUUAUUGGGCGUAAAGAGCUCGUAGGCGGUUUGUCGCGUCUGCUGUGAAAGCCCGGGGCUCAACCCCGGGUCUGCAGUGGGUAC
rnacentral:rRNA from 1 species